UGCAAGUCGAACGAGCGAGAGAGAGCUUGCUUUCUCGAGCGAGUGGCGAACGGGUGAGUAACGCGUGAGGAACCUGCCUCAAAGAGGGGGACAACAGUUGGAAACGACUGCUAAUACCGCAUAAGCCCACGGCUCGGCAUCGAGCAGAGGGAAAAGGAGCAAUCCGCUUUGAGAUGGCCUCGCGUCCGAUUAGCUAGUUGGUGAGGUAACGGCCCACCAAGGCGACGAUCGGCAGCCGGACUGAGAGGUUGAACGGCCACAUUGGGACUGAGACACGGCCCAGACUCCUACGGGAGGCAGCAGUGGGGAAUAUUGCACAAUGGGGGAAACCCUGAUGCAGCGACGCCGCGUGGAGGAAGAAGGUCUUCGGAUUGUAAACUCCUGUUGUUGGGGAAGAUAAUGACGGUACCCAACAAGGAAGUGACGGCUAACUACGUGCCAGCAGCCGCGGUAAAACGUAGGUCACAAGCGUUGUCCGGAAUUACUGGGUGUAAAGGGAGCGCAGGCGGGAAGACAAGUUGGAAGUGAAAUCUAUGGGCUCAACCCAUAAACUGCUUUCAAAACUGUUUUUCUUGAGUAGUGCAGAGGUAGGCGGAAUUCCCGGUGUAGCGGUGGAAUGCGUAGAUAUCGGGAGGAACACCAGUGGCGAAGGCG
rnacentral:rRNA from 1 species